rnacentral:rRNA from 1 species
CAUGUCUUUUUGAUUUUGAUUUAAAGUUUAAUCUGCCCAUAUGAUUUAAAUUUAAUGGCCGCAGUAUUUUGACUGUGCAAAGGUAGCGUAAUAAUUAGUUUCUUAAUUGGGAGCUGGAAUGAAUGAUUGGACGAGAAAAUUUCUGUCUUUAAUUUAAUUAAUUAAAAUUUAUUUUUAAGUUAAAAAGCUUAAAUAUUUUUAGGGGACGAGAAGACCCUAUAGAGUUUAAUAUUAAUUUUUAUUUAUUUUUUUUGGUUAUUAUUUUAAAAUAAUUAUUAGUAUUUUGUUGGGGUGAUAGAAAGAUUUAAUUAACUCUUUUUAAAAUAAACAUUGAUUUUUGAAUUUUAUGAUCUAUUAUUUAAUAUUAAGAUUAAAUUACCUUAGGGAUAACAGCGUAAUUUUUUAUGAAGUUCUUAUUUGUAUAAAAGAUUGCGACCUCGAUGUUGGAUUAAAUAUAAAAUUAAGGUGUAGAAGCUUUAAUUUUAGGUCUGUUCGACCUUUAAAAUUUUACAUGAUCUGAGU